rnacentral:rRNA from 1 species
UCGGGAAUUUUGCUCAAUGGGCGAAAGCCUGAAGCAGCAACGCCGCGUGAGGGAUGAAGGCCUUCGGGUUGUAAACCUCUUUUCUGAGGGACGAUGAUGACGGUACCUCAGGAAUAAGCCACGGCUGACUACUUGCCAGCAGCCGCGGUAAUACGUAGGUGGCAAGCGUUGUCCGUAUUUACUGGGCGUAAAGAGCGCGCAGGCGGUUUGAUAAGUCGAAUGUGAAAUCCCCCGGCUCAACUGGGGAGCGUCAUUCGAUACUGUCUGACUUGAAGGCAGGAGAGGGAAGCGGAAUUCCCGGUGUAGUGGUGAAAUGCGUAGAUAUCGGGAGGAACACCAGUGGCGAAGGCGGCUUCCUGGCAUGUUCUUGACGCUGAGGCGCGAAAGCCAGGGGAGCAAACGGG